UAAGUAGACCGCCUGGGGAGUACGGCCGCAAGGUUAAAACUCAAAUGAAUUGACGGGGGCCCGCACAAGCGGUGGAGCAUGUGGUUUAAUUCGAUGCAACGCGAAGAACCUUACCUGGUCUUGACAUCCACAGAAUUCUGCAGAGAUGCGGAAGUGCCUUCGGGAACUGUGAGACAGGUGCUGCAUGGCUGUCGUCAGCUCGUGUUGUGAAAUGUUGGGUUAAGUCCCGCAACGAGCGCAACCCUUAUCCUUUGUUGCCAGCGGUYMGGCCGGGAACUCAAAGGAGACUGCCAGUGAUAAACUGGAGGAAGGUGGGGAUGACGUCAAGUCAUCAUGGCCCUUACGACCAGGGCUACACACGUGCUACAAUGGCGCAUACAAAGAGAAGCGACCUCGCGAGAGCAAGCGGACCUCAUAAA
rnacentral:rRNA from 1 species